rfam:Schistosoma rodhaini strain Burundi genome assembly, scaffold: SROB_scaffold0000313
AUCCAGCUAACGAGUCCCAAAUAGGACGAAACGCGCGUCAAACUGGAU